CCGCUCGUGGCGUAGCUGGAUAACGCAACAGAUUCCGAUUCUGGAGAACGGGGGUUCGAAUCCCUCCGAGCGGGCCA
rnacentral:tRNA from 1 species